rnacentral:rRNA from 1 species
CAGCGCUGCAAGUGGGGACCGUUUUUAUUGGGCCUAAAGCGUCCGUAGCCGGUUUAAUAAAUUCUUUGUGAAGUUGUCGAGCUUAACUUGACAACGUGCAGAGAACACUGUUAAACUUGGAACUGGGAGGAGCCAAGGGUAUUUUCGGGGGAGCGGUAAAAUGCUAUAAUCCCGAGAGGACCACCUAUACCGAAGGGACUUGGCUAGAACAGAUUCGACGGUCAGGGACGAAAGCUAGGGGAGCAAACCGGAUUAGAUACCCGAGUAGUCC